ACUCCAGUGGCCUAGUGGUUAGAGCAUCUUCCUAAGAUACAGGAGGGUGUGGGUUCAAUCCCCGGUCGAGUC